rnacentral:lncRNA from 1 species
CCUCGACGUGCCUCAGUUUCCCCACCUGUCCUCGGGGAGGUACGCCAGCCGGGUCCCUGCGCCGGGCGGCGGUGCCCCGCCGACUGCAAGCGCUGUGCGCACGCCCGCUGGAGCCGGCACCGCGCUCCAGGCGAGGCAGGGAGCGCGCGGUGUUAUCCUCGAGCCCCGGGAGGCUGCGGGGGGAAGACUCGAGCUCUAAAAUUAGUCCAGCUUCCCCGCCCGGCGCCGGGAGCGCCCUCCAGCUCGCCGCGCCUCCCCCCCCGCCCGCCCCCUCUCCCCCCGCGCGGCGCUCCGAGAUCGCGAGUCGGCCGGGACGCCGAGGCUCCUCUCCCCCUCGCCCUUUUCACUCGCGGGUUGGGAGGAGGAGACAGCGAGAGGAGAGCGAGAGGGGGCCGCGGGAGAGGGGCUCGGCCGCGCGUCGGCGUCAGCUGUGAUGGGGAGCUGCGAGCAGCGAGGCGGCGAGCAGUAGCGGCGGCGGCGGCGGCGGCGGCACCGAGCAGGCACGAGAGCCGGCGCUGCUCCCGGCAGGCUGCGCUGUGCUCUGGGCUGCGGCUUGGGAUCUCGCGCCCCGUCCGCCUCCUCCCGCUGCCGCUCUCCUCCUCCCGGCUCCCCUCCUUCGCCUGCGAGCCUCCGGACGCCGAGCGCCUCUGCCCGCGGCUCCAGUCCCGGAGAGCGCGCCGCGGGCACUGCGGCGGCGGCGGCCGGGUGGCCGGGUGGCCGGGCGGCCGGCUCGUCCUGGGCUGGAGCGCUGGGAGAGGAAGACCACGGAGGCAGCGCCCGGUGGAGCCGUGGAUCGCCGGCGAAGGCAAGGGAGAAACAGCCUGCUGGCCAUCAGAGACCUGAGGAUACAGGAGAGAUGAUUUCAUCGACUUCAAAACUCUAUUAUAUACUUAAGGUUUUAAAAUAUGUUCAACAGAGUCAUCAUGCUUUCUCGGUGCUCACUUCGUGUCUGAUCCACGUGUGGCUCCUGUCACCCCUAGCCUCCCCAGUUUGGCUGUCACUCUACAGAGGAAAUAAAAAAGCAGCAGACCCAGUUUCCUGGCUGUUUUAUUUUAUGGAGAUGCUAAAAGGAAGCUUAUUUCAUAUUGAUCAUACCAGGGAGCUAGCCAAGUAUGGUGUUAAUUGGGUCCUCUGGAAUUCUAAACCCCUGGGACAAGAGGCUUUCUAGGAAGGAGGGGGAAAAACCCACAAGCUGCAUAAAAAUUAAAUCCAGGAGCCCACAAUGUCCCAGUUGCUGGUGAUUUGGACAGCUCGUUUUGUAUCCAGUUGCUUAUUUCAAUUAGCUUGUUUUGUGUUAUGUUUCCCCACACCCCCUUUCCUGCAAAGCUGUGAAGCCUUGUUUUGAAAACUGCUGCCCCAGAGUGCACUGGUUUGGCUGUCCUGUCCUCAUUGUUCUAAUGCUCAUUCCAUAUGUGGGUCACAUACUAGCGCUCUCCCCCACACCCCUCCACCUCCCUCUUAUCCCUCCAGCCACCUCCCCUCCUUUUCCCUUCCCUUCUCUUCCUUUCCCUGUUGGUGCAUUGACUCUCUGGCUCUCCUUCUCCUGUUCCACUUCCCCCCACAAUCUAUCUCUGUCUGUCUCUCUCUCUGUCUCUCUCUGUCUCUCUCUCUUUCACACACAUACACACACACACACUUUUCUUCUCUCAAGAGGCAGAAGUAGGGGCCAGAUUCUUUCAGGAUCUUUGCACACAGAGCCAUUCAAACUUUAAAAGCUGGUUACUGUGCAUUUAUUUUAUGGAAAACACCACUUCACCUUCCUGAAAGUAAUUAUUCUGUUCCUCUCCCCUCUACUUCCCUCUUUCCACUCCUUGCUCUUUUCCCCUCUUUUUCUAGGACAAAGGUUUUUUAAGAAACUAGGAUUGCUGCUUCCUUCUGCCCUCUCUUGUUACCGUGGUAGCGAGCAUCUCAGACAGUGAAGGAUGGAGAAGGCAGGCUGGGGUUUUAUGCACAGUUCUUUGGGGGCUGCAGAGGAGUCCCCUGAGAAAUGUGCAUUGCAGGCAUGCCUGCUGAGUUUACUAUGCUGGUUAUCUGUCACUUAUUCUGACUAAAAGGUAAGGGCUUCUGCAAUCUGCGGCUGCAAAGAAUUGGCACAUUGUUUUAUUUCUAAGGUCUUCAACUAAUUGGCUCUUGAGAGAAGAUUGGAAUGAGAGUUUUUGCUGGACUUCUGUAGCUUAUCCUAUUAGAUCUCUCUGAUUUUUUGAAUGAGGGAAAAUAAUUUUGGCAAUCUUUGGUUAUUGAUGGGAUGUCUAUUUACAUGUGUUGAGGGGGAAAAAAACACCCAACUUUUAAUUCCAUGUUGCUUUCUUCUUUUCAUUUAAAACUUUUCAUUUACCAAUGAAAAGAUGUGUUAUAUAUGUGGUCCAUAUUUUCAUUGGUUUCUGUAAACUUUGAAAGAGUUUUGAAAUCAUCCCAAGCAAGAUAAGAUUUUAACUCAGCAGAUUGCAUUUUUACCAAUUAAAAAUUAUUGUGCAUUUGAGUAAUCAGAGUAAGGAAAGUUUGAGACUAUUUAGAUGAAUAGUAACAUUUACAUUUAUUAGUCUGUUACUCUAGAAUGGAUAAAUACAUAUUGGUAAAUAUAAAUAACCAUUUAUGCCUCUUGUUUUAUGUGUGGUUAGAGGAAAUUUUCUGCAUUUGUUCAGAAUUCUGACUGAAAUACAGGCAAAGGAAUCUUAGUAAUAAGGACUACAUAAAAGUAUAUAGAAUUUUUAAAAAGAUUAUUUUAUUUUAGAGAGGGAGGGAGGGGCAGAGGGAGAGGGAGAAAGAAAAUCUCAAACAGAUUCCCUGUUGAUGGCAGAGCCUAUUGCAGGACUUGAUCCAAGGAUCCUGAGAUCAUGAUCUAAGCUGAAAUCAGCAGUUGAACACUCAACCGACUGAGCCACUCAGGCGCCCCCAGAAAGUAUGUAGACCUUAAGUUUAUGUUUUUAAAUUUACCUACUUGAAGUAAUUGAAACUACAAUAUCAAUUGCCUGUUAUCUCUGGGAAAAAAACUUAUCUUUGAUUAAGAAGCAUAAUUUCAAAAACAGAUUGUACAUCACUAUGGAGCUUAUACAGUUGGAAACCAGCUGAACUUUAUUGAAAAAAAAAUGAUUAUACCUUAUUUUCUUAAGUGGUGGUAAUUUAUGAAGACUCUUUGGUAGGAGUGUAGGAGGUAUUUUAUUGGAGAUGGAAGGUCCUUUUAAUGGUAUUUUUCCUUUAUGGCUGCUGUUUAGGGCAUGUGGUGUGUUGCUAUCCGGUUCUGUUUAUCAAUCCGUCUCAUGAGCCAUAAAUGAAAGAAAGGUGUAUGUUUGGAUAUCCAAUUUAAGUCAGCUAAUUUUAUUUAUGACUUUAUAAAAUUUGGGUCAAAGAGCUGUGGGAAAGGUUUCUUGCAAAAGGACAUAUGGAUGCAUCUGCUUAUACAACCUAGUGCUAUUAACAAAACAAGCUGGGGAUUUUUUUCAGUGAUUAGACAUUGAGUGGAUCUUGAGGAAAGAUGGUAUCUAUGAAGGGAAGAAGCUUUAUUUCUUUGACUCUGACUCAAAGGUUCUUACUGAGGUAGAGUAGGGCCUAGAUUUUAGGGUCUGUUUUUCUUCCACAGUUAUCCCUCACCCCUAUCCCCUUCUAUCCAGUGUCUGUCAUUAAGUCCCUCUUGUUUCUUUAUGCAGUAGGAUAGCUUUACAUUCCUUUCAAAAUCACUAGGUGAUAAUUCAGAUGAGCAUAUACUCAGGGAGAAUUAAAAAAUUUUCCCUCCCAUUUUUAUCCUACACAUCUCCUUCUUAGUACAAAGAAAAACACACCAGAUACUUCUUCAUCUGCAGUUUUUCUUCUCUUCCAACUUUAAAAACUUUCUAAAAUGUCAAUUUUAGAAUCCCUUCAUAAAAUAGGAUACCUUUUCAUGUGUUAAAUCAGUGACUGUCAACCAGGGGGUGUUCAAAGUACUCGCCUGUGAAGUAUUUAAAUAAUGCAAGUUGUAGGUGCCACCCCCAGGGAGUUUGUUCUGAACUCUGUAUCCAUACCCGGUACUUGGUAGGUGUUCAGUAGUAGUAGUCACUGAAUGUUAAUUACUGAAAUGUUUUCCAAGUAGAACUAACAGGCCACACUGAGUAAGACUACAAAAUCUUUUCCUCUUCCUCUUUAGUUGAAAUUGGAAAGAGGCACUUCUGACUUCUCUGCUUCCUACUUGUAUAUUGAGAAAAACAGGGCUUCUUUUGAAAGGAAGGGCUUCUUUUGCAGAUGUUUUCAAAACUCUGAAAGUAAAUUAAUCAUCCUUAAAAAGGCUAGUAGGAUCCUCUACUCAUUUUCCACUACCCAGACGAAUAGUCCUGUAGCAGUGCUACUAAUCACAACAUUCUUAGAAAUUACUUUGCACCCCAGUCCCAUGACUCUCUUAUGAAUCUCAAAAUGAUAUUAUGGAA